GACGAACGCUGGCGGCGCGCUUAACACAUGCAAGUCGAACGGAAAGGCCUGCUUUCCCUUGUGGAUUGCGGGUACUCGAGUGGCGAACGGGUGAGUAACACGUGAGUGAUCUGCCCCCAACUUGGGUAUAAGCCUGGGAAACUGGGUCUAAUUCCCGAUAGGACUGCAGGGUGGUGCCUGUGGUGGAAAACGAUUUUCUAGUGGUUGGGGAUGAGCUCGCGGCCUAUCAGCUUGUUGGUGGGGUAAUGGCCUACCAAGGCGGCGACGGGUAGCCGGCCUGAGAGGGUGGACGGCCACAUUGGGACUGGGAUACGGCCCAGACUCCUACGGGAGGCAGCAGUGGGGAAUAUUGCACAAUGGGCGGAAGCCUGAUACAGCGACGCCGCGUGGGGGAUGACGGCCUUCGGGUUGUAAACUCCUUUCGACCGCGAGGAAGCCACCUGGUUGGAAGGGUGGUGACGGUAGUGGUAGAAGAAGCACCGGCUAACUACGUG
rnacentral:rRNA from 1 species